UACGUAGGGGGCGAGCGUUGUCCGGAGUUACUGGGCGUAAAGGGCACGCAGGCGGUUGUGUCAGUUUGCGGGGACAGUGGGCGGCUUAACUGCCCAAGGGUCGCAAAGACGGCAUGACUGGAGGGCCAGAGAGGGACCUGGAAUUCCGGGUGGAGCGGUGAAAUGCGUAGAGAUCCGGAGGAACACCACUGGCGAAGGCAAGGUCCUGGCUGGUGCCUGACGCUGAGGUGCGAAAGCUAGGGGAG
rnacentral:rRNA from 1 species